GAUCCUGGCUCAGGAUAAACGCUGGCGGCGUGCUUAACACAUGCAAGUCGAACGAAGUUUUUCUUUCGGGAGGAACUUAGUGGCGGACGGGUGAGUAACGCGUGGGUAACCUGCCCUGUACAGGGGGACAACAGCUGGAAACGGCUGCUAAUACCGCAUAAGCCCUUAGCACUGCAUGGUGCAUAGGGAAAAGGAGCAAUCCGGUACAGGAUGGACCCGCGUCUGAUUAGCCAGUUGGCAGGGUAACGGCCUACCAAAGCGACGAUCAGUAGCCGAUCUGAGAGGAUGUACGGCCACAUUGGGACUGAGACACGGCCCAGACUCCUACGGGAGGCAGCAGUGGGGAAUAUUGCACAAUGGAGGAAACUCUGAUGCAGCGACGCCGCGCGAGUGAAGAAGUAUUUCGGUAUGUAAAGCUCUAUCAGCAGGGAAGAAAAUGACGGUACCUGACUAAGAAGCACCGGCUAAAUACGUGCCAGCAGCCGCGGUAAUACGUAUGGUGCAAGCGUUAUCCGGAUUUACUGGGUGUAAAGGGAGCGUAGGUGGCAAGGCAAGCCAGAAGUGAAAACCCGGGGCUCAACCGCGGGAUUGCUUUUGGAACUGUCAUGCUAGAGUGCAGGAGGGGUGAGCGGAAUUCCUAGUGUAGCGGUGAAAUGCGUAGAUAUUAGGAGGAACACCAGAGGCGAAGGCGGCUCACUGGACUGUAACUGACACUGAGGCUCGAAAGCGUGGGGAGCAAACAGGAUUAGAUACCCUGGUAGUCCACGCGGUAAACGAUGAAUACUAGAUGUCGGGUAGCAAAGCUAUUCGGUGUGGUCGCAAACGCAAUAAGUAUUCCACUCUGGGGAGCACGU
rnacentral:rRNA from 1 species